rnacentral:snoRNA from 1 species
GUGAUGAAGAGGCAUUUGUGGCCACGGGUGGCCGGCGCUGGAACGGCUGA